CGGCGGACGGGUGGAGUAAUGCCUAGGAAUCUGCCUGGUAGUGGGGGACAACGUUUCGAAAGGAACGCUAAUACCGCAUACGUCCUACGGGAGAAAGCAGGGGACCUUCGGGCCUUGCGCUAUCAGAUGAGCCUAGGUCGGAUUAGCUAGUUGGUGAGGUAAUGGCUCACCAAGGCGACGAUCCGUAACUGGUCUGAGAGGAUGAUCAGUCACACUGGAACUGAGACACGGUCCAGACUCCUACGGGAGGCAGCAGGA
rnacentral:rRNA from 1 species